rnacentral:lncRNA from 1 species
UCCCACAACACACCUGGCCCGGGACACCUGAGCCUCGCCUCCCGCCACACACCUGCUGGCCCGGGACACCUGAGCCUCAACACACCUGGCCCGGGGACACCUGAGCCUCAACCAAACACUACUGUAUAUACAUAAAGAUAGGAAAGAGGACUAAAAUGUUGGGCUCAUUGGGUCCCAAGAAGUGCUGAGCCAAAACGAUAAAUAGUGCAGUAACUCCUACCAGGUGUUGGAUGAAGCUGGAGAGGAAGAGAAGAGGAAGGACGAGGAAAGAGAAGAGGAAGGACGAGGAAGAGAAGAGGAAGGACGAGGAAUGAGAAGAGGAAGGACGAGGAAGAGAAGAGGCAGGAUGUUGUGCAUGGAGAAGAAGGGCAGGUGUACAGACCCUGCCCAGUGGUAGUUAGGGACAGCCAGGAGAUGAAUACUGUCAAACCGUCUGGUCCCCGAGAUACCUGUAUGGUAGAAACUGUCAGUUUAUUGAAAUUUCCAAAGGAGGGCCACCAGACUGAUGCCUCCACUAUGGCACCUCGGUUACCUAGAAGGAUUAGAAUGCCUGCAAUUGCCUAGCUAAUACAGUACUUAAGGCGGGCAAAUGGUGACUUAAUUGAGGUUUAUAAACAGCUGAAAGUGCCCACUACCACCACUACCAUCUAUGACAAGAUAAGUUUAGAUGAAAAUGAAAACUGAAGCAAAAAGCAGAAGCCUUAAGAACACACGUAUGACAACUGACUGUGUGGUGGAUGUUAAUUACAGAAGACAACAAUUUAUACCAGCUGACUUUAAACUGAAUUGUUGACAGUUCCACCACCACCACUACCAUCAACACUCCUGGCAAGUAGAGGGAAGCACAGCAGUCCAGGGGAGUGGUGGGCAGCACGGCAGUCCAGGGCAGUGGUGGGCAGCACGGCAGUCCAGGGCAGUGGUGGGCAGCACGGCAGUCCAGGGCAGUGGUGGGCAGCACGGCAGUCCAGGGCAGUGGUGGGCUGGGCAGGGCAGUGGUGGGCAGUCCAGGGCAGCACAGCAGUGGUGGGCAGCAGGGCCUUGGUGGGAAGCAGGGCAGUCCAGGGCAGCAGCCACCACAAAUGUUCAGAUUAACUUUUCUGUACAAAAUAAAAUGUAAAAUUUA